UCCAGACUCCUACGGGAGGCAGCAGCGGGGAAUAUUGGACAAUGGGGGAAACCCUGAUCCAGCGACGCCGCGUGAGUGAAGAAGUAUUUCGGUACGUAAAGCUCUAUCAGCAGGAAAGAAAAUGACGGUACCUGACUAAGAAGCCCCGGCUAACUACGUGCCAGCAGCCGCGGUAAUACGUAGGGGGCAAGCGUUACCCGGAUUUACUGGGUGUAAAGGGAGCGUAGACGGCAGCGCAAGUCUGGAGUGAAAUGCCGGGGCCCAACCCCGGAACUGCUCUGGAAACUGUGAAGCUGGAGUGCAGGAGAGGUAAGCGGAAUUCCUGGUGUAGCGGUGAAAUGCGUAGAUAUCAGGAGGAACACCGGCGGCGAAGGCGGCUUACUGGACUGUAACUGACGUUGAGGCUCGAAGGCGUGGGGAGCAAACAGGAUUAGAUACCCCAGUAA
rnacentral:rRNA from 1 species